rnacentral:pre_miRNA from 1 species
UUACUACUCCCUCCGUUCGGAAUUACUUGUCUCGGAAAUGGAUGUAUCUAUAACUAAAAUACAUCUAGAUACAUCUAUUUCUGCGACAAGUAAUUCCGAACGGAGGGAGUAUUUA